rnacentral:rRNA from 1 species
CAGCAGCCGCGGGAAUACGGAGGGUGCAAGCGUUAUCCGGAUUUACUGGGUUUAAAGGGUGCGUAGGCGGACUUGUAAGUCCGAGGUGAAAUCUCUGAGCUUAACUCGGAAACUGCCUUGGAUACUAUAGGUCUUGAAUCUCGUUGAGGUUUGCGGAAUAUGUCAUGUAGCGGUGAAAUGCUUAGAUAUGACAUAGAACACCUAUUGCGAAGGCAGCAGGCUAAACGAGUAUUGACGCUGAUGCACGAAAGCGUGGGGAUCAAACAGGAUUAGAUACCCGCGUAGUCCCUGUCUCUUAUAA